AUUGAACGCUGGCGGCAGGCCUAACACAUGCAAGUCGAGCGGAUGAAGGGAGCUUGCUCCUGGAUUCAGCGGCGGACGGGUGAGUAAUGCCUAGGAAUCUGCCUGGUAGUGGGGGAUAACGUCCGGAAACGGGCGCUAAUACCGCAUACGUCCUGAGGGAGAAAGUGGGGGAUCUUCGGACCUCACGCUAUCAGAUGAGCCUAGGUCGGAUUAGCUAGUUGGUGGGGUAAAGGCCUACCAAGGCGACGAUCCGUAACUGGUCUGAGAGGAUGACCAGUCACACUGGAACUGAGACACGGUCCAGACUCCAACGGGAGGCAGCAGUGGGGAAUAUUGGACAAUGGGCGAAAGCCUGAUCCAGCCAUGCCGCGUGUGUGAAGAAGGUCUUCGGAUUGUAAAGCACUUUAAGUUGGGAGGAAGGGCAGUAAGUUAAUACCUUGCUGUUUUGACGUUACCAACAGAAUAAGCACCGGCUAACUUCGUG
rnacentral:rRNA from 1 species